GAUGAACGCUGGCGGCGUGCCUAAUACAUGCAAGUCGAGCGAACAGAUAAGGAGCUUGCUCCUUUGAAGUUAGCGGCGGACGGGUGAGUAACACGUGGGUAACCUACCUAUAAGACUGGGAUAACUUCGGGAAACCGGAGCUAAUACCGGAUAACAUUUAGAACCGCAUGGUUCUAAAGUGAAAGAUGGUUUUGCUAUCACUUAUAGAUGGACCCGCGCCGUAUUAGCUAGUUGGUAAGGUAACGGCUUACCAAGGCGACGAUACGUAGCCGACCUGAGAGGGUGAUCGGCCACACUGGAACUGAGACACGGUCCAGACUCCUACGGGAGGCAGCAGUAGGGAAUCUUCCGCAAUGGGCGAAAGCCUGACGGAGCAACGCCGCGUGAGUGAUGAAGGGUUUCGGCUCGUAAAGCUCUGUUAUUAGGGAAGAACAAAUGUGUAAGUAACUGUGCACAUCUUGACGGUACCUAAUCAGAAAGCCACGGCUAACUACGUG
rnacentral:rRNA from 1 species